rnacentral:misc_RNA from 1 species
GAUCACCUAAGUACUUCCCUUUUGCUACAAUAUUCCCUUGAUGUGCACUUUGUGAUCCAUUCAUGUUAUCAAAUGAUUUCUUACACUCUCUUAUAAAUGUUGUUAAAAGUGUCCUAGGGUUAAAUAUCUCCUGCAUUCCAACACUAUAGACAAUAUGAACAGCUUUAACUACUGCCUUGUUUGCCACCAUUUCCUCUAUUAUUUCUGGAAGCUUCGCCAAGAGAGCGUUUGAUCGUUUGAGUGCAUCACAACUCCACUUAAGGUUACUUACCUGAAACAAAUUUCUGAUAUUCGCAUUUGUAAAUUGAUCUGGAAUCCCAAAACCCCCAAUAAAGAAGAGCAAACCUCGGGCAUCGAUUUCUUGAGGCUUUCCUCCUUCAGAAUUCAUCCUCUCCAACCAUGCUAAAGCUGUAUGCUCCGCCUCUUCCUUCACCCAAUUCUCAAGCUCGAUUUCCUU